GCUUUCCUUGUCUUGGGGUGAGGUGGGUAACUCAAUGAACGUUUAGUGAGAGUUCCCCUGCUAACACCAAAGCAACACACGCGCAUCAUCUGAACCACAAAUUCAGAUCAUGGUGCAAUUUUUGGAAAC